rnacentral:rRNA from 1 species
GACGGAGGGUGCUAGCGUUGUUCGGAAUUACUGGGCGUAAAGGGCGCGUAGGCGGCCGCUCAAGUCGGGUGUGAAAGCCCGGGGCUCAACCCCGGAACUGCACUCGAGACUGUGUGGCUGGAGAUCGGAAGAGGAGAGUGGAACACCCAGUGUAGAGGUGAAAUUCGUAGAUAUUGGGUAGAACACCGGUGGCGAAAGCGGCUCUCUGGUCCGAUUCUGACGCUGAGGCGCGAAAGCGUGGGGAGCAAACAGG